AGGAACAUUCCCCAAAUCCAGUCCAAUGUGCUACCUCCAAGUGACGCCGUUUGGGGAUUGGUGAUCUCAGCCGUUGAUUUCUUCAAUCCAACGGCCCACGACUUCAGGGGGAUAAUUAUAAAAAAGUCGGAUGAAUUAAUUAUAUCAAAACCACAUCUUCUUCCUCGUACAGACCCUCUGAACCUCGCCGGAGCCCUCACCGGCGGCGAACCAAAUUUAUGCCAAUCCGCUUCAAAUUUACACCAUAGGUUCCCUAGACCAGCCUCUUUCCAUCCCUGCUAGUGCCAUCCCUCGGAUCUUUCCCUAUCUCCUCGAAUCUUCAUCGAAAGAUUUUCCGGCCACGACGUCUCUUAUGCCAAAUGACCCCAAAUUUACACCGUCGGACCGCCUGAGCCUCCUAUACUCAACCCCCAUAGCCAUAUCUCUCGAAUCUACUUGGAUCUGCUCGAAUCUCCAUUUCAAGUUCUCCGGACAAAACCCUAGUAGGCCGAAUGCGUCCCAAAUUGAUACUAGAUGUUCGUUGGGCUGUCUUGACGAGGAAUUAAACAGUCUUAAUGCUCAAUGCCCAGUGAAAAUGGUCAAAUUGCAAAGUAGACGAACUGGCCAGAGUUUCUGUUCGUCAGUGAGUUUCUGGUUUCCAUUUUUCUUUUCUAUUCCAUUUCGCUUUCUUCCUGUUUAUGUGCAUGUGUGAAUUCUGGGAUAAUUUUGUUUGAUUUUGAUUUUGGUUGGUUUGAAUUUAAUUUUGAUGAUUUUCUAUUGGCUUAGUUAUAAUUCCCUUUUGUAAUCUGCUCGUUCUUGCUAGGAUUGGUUUAGGUUCAGGUUGUUUGGAAAGUAUUUAGUUAUCCUCUAAUUAAUUUGUUUUUGACAGCGGUUGAUUAAAUGUACUUGGUGUUCAAUGGUCAUUGGCAGAGUAAUUACUAGGAGAAUUGGUUAUAGCUACUCUGAAUAGUUUAGUAAAUCUGAAAUAAUUUCAAGGGCACUGUAGGAAAUUGAUAGUCACAAGAAUAGUGUGGAACUCCCUAGGAGCUUCUGGAUAGGGGUUACUUGUGUGACAAGUUAGUACUUGAAGGGGUAAAAAGCUAAAAGAGGGAGGGACUAAGUAGAAAUAAAAGUUUGCUUAGUUGUCUAUAAAAGGCAUUUUUAAUUUCCUUGUGAAAGGGGGUUCAGAUUUUCAGCCAUCGAAUUCUUCAUAAAAUAUACCCUCAUUAAGUCCUCUCUAUCUCGGCCUGGCCCGGUCGCCCUACGCGACUGGCGAGCCAGCCGGGUGGUCCCGGAUGUAGUCGUCAAUAUCCUUAAAGGAGCUCCCCGCAAUGGGACUGCUGGAAAAGGCCUGAUGAAAAAGCUUAAAAACUCAUUUGCUUUUGUCCGAGAAUCCGCUUGCUCGGCUCUUUUUCUUAAUAAAAUAGAUGUCUAGCCCUUAUCCUGCUAACGACGAACUUCUAUAUGUAACCUAGCAAGGAAAGCCUAAACAAAGCGUCACUCCUAGUAGUGCACUCACUCUCACUUCCUUUUACAGCAACCUAUUAAAAAAAAGCCGAGUCUAUUUCAAGGAAAUUGUCCGGUAUUCACUUAUAUUAUCUCGAGUAAUCGAAUCGCCCGCUUCAGGCUAGAGAGAAGAGAAAAAGAAAGAAGGCCUUGGACCGGAAAGAAUUCUUUUUUGAUUUCUCGACUAAUUCAAUUGGUUGCGGGCCGCCUUUCUAUAGGAUAGGCUCCCGGUCCUAUUCCUGUUCAGAGAGAUCUUCAUUCAGGAAAGGUAAGGACUCAGAAUCAAGCCAUUGCCAGCCCCCUCCUCAUGGAGGGACCAGACGAAGGACGCUGUGCGCUAGUCGGAACUUUCAGCGGUUGGCAUGUGGAACCAAUAAUCCCAUCUGUCCUGUCUAUAGGCCUAUGCCUUUCCUUAAUCACUGCGUCGUUACUGACACACUAUCUGACCUUGAAGGUUAUGGUAAGGUUGGUACUCCUUUCUUUAGAAACGAAUCCCCAUUAGCUCUGAAGCUGGGAAAAAAUCCGCUAUGUCCCUAUUCGAAUUCAUUCUCUCAGAAAGACCUGGCUAUUACGAUUGAUUGCUUUAUGCAGAUUCAUAUGAAGACUUGAAAUCUGAAAUCUCCGUUAGAACCCUGAGCUUUUCUACAGAAAACAAAAUAAAAAAAUCAACAAAACUCUCAAAUAUUAAAAAAAACAUCACUGUUCUAUUGGUCACUAUGGUUUAACUUCGGGUUUGAGUAAUUAGUGUCGAUCUGCUGUUUCAACAUUCAAUAGCUUUUAAGUCUGAGUUCAUUUGUCUUGUUGUUUGGGUUGCUGAGGUUCGAGGUGUUUUGGUUUGUUAAUUCGAGCCCACUUGGAGGGACGUUGGGUUGUUUGGGUUGAUUUUGAAUACUAGAUAUCCUUUACUCUUAAAUCUGGUUUGUGUAUUUACUGGUGGAUUGAUUUGUUGUGUUGAGCUGUUGCUUACUUAUUCUUCUCCUUCAUUCUAUCUAAAUUCCAGGUACACACUCGAAACCACAUUGAUGUAACCACAAUUGGAGUGAAAUGCCAUUGUACUGACUAAUCUGUAUUCAUUUGGUUAUAUAUAUGAUUGUAACUGUUCAAUUGAUGAGUAGUAGUGUAUAUUUGAUCCGUUGGAUUUGAAUCGUAAAAGGUUGUUAAUUAGACUGACUAAACUGUGUUAAAUUUAACCCGGAACGUCAAUUGAUUAGUUUGUUAAUCUGAAUCUGGUAACUUCAGGAUGUAUAAUUGAACUUUUGUGGAAGUUGUAGCUUAGAACUAAUUGUUGGCUAGAAUUCAUAUACAAUAUCCUAUUUAGGUUUUAGUGUAUUAAAUGACUCCGAUAAUAUUAAUUGAAUCUGUUUGGAUUAGUUGUUCAUUUGGGAGUUUGGAUCAUUAACGUACUUGUCGUAUAGUGUAAUGAAACCACCAGUAGCAUAAUGAAUAAAGUAUGCGUAGAAUUGGAAACAAAUUAACUAACGUUUAAUUAAGUUGAAUUGAGUAUUAACU
rnacentral:lncRNA from 1 species